CUACAUUUCACCGAGUGUUUUUCCUGCCGCGGAUGCUGCGUCAAGUCCUUUCCAGGGCAGCGUGACCACCAUGUGGCUCGGGAGUUGGCAGGCGUUCAGUGAAUACAACACAGUUCAGAACGCUCCAAGUUGUGACGUCUAAGGUUGUUAUGAAAAACCAUAAACCACCAGCAACAGAGAAGAUCACCCUGGCUGCUCUACAGAGAGAACAGAGAAAGGAUCCUUGAAGGAGGGACGUGGAAGCAAGGUGAUCAAUUAAGAAGCUACUGCAGCCAUGAAGGCAACAGAUGAGGAAACUUAGUCCCGGGAAUUUGCUGAGGCACUGAAGCAGAUUCCUUGGAUUUCAACAUCACUCAGCUUUUCUUGAGAAAUACUUCCUCUGCCAUCCGGCGCCCCAAGCCCGUCUCCCGGUGAAGCCCGUUUCCUACCCCAUAUGGGAGCAGCAGUCUACACACACUCUCGGGACUGCAGGAAGGAUAACCUGAAGAGCCUCACUUUGGCCACUGGACCUUGAAGCAGCUAAAGCAAAACCGAAAACACAGCCCAGUCCAAGGGAGUCCUCCCAUAGGAUGAGAUAACCCCGGGCGAUGCGUGUACUUCCUGGAAUGGGCAGUGCUGCAGGCUGUCGAGCUACAGGCACCCAAGGUGCAUCAUCCAGACGCCUCAAUUUUCCUUCCAGGUUUUUUGGGGAAGAUAUCAUUUUAAGGUCUAACAAACUCCCAGGUGAUGCUUGCUGCUGGUCCAAGACCACACUUGGAGUGACAAGACCCAGCCUUCCACUCUCUUCCAAGUUCCCGGUGUCACCUACUACAGCUAUAACCACAGCAACCCGGCUGGAGGGAAAGUAUGGAAACUCCUACUCAUCCUUCUAGAUUCAGUGAAUCUGGGCUGACCGUGCUACUUGCUUUAACCAAUGGAAUUAAGUGAUGCUGAGCCAGUUCUGAGCCUAAGCCUUGAGAAAGUCCGGCAGCUCCUGCACUGCACAUUUGGAGGAGGACUGAGUCACCAUGGAAAGAAAUCUGGCUCUUCUGUUGGAGAGACCACAUGGGGUGCAGGGGGUAGAGGAGCCCUGAGACCAUGUGGAGAAAGAGAGGAGACCACACCUCUCAGCAUUCCAGCUGAGCUCAACCUUCCAGCCACCCUCACUAGGAUGCCAGACAAGUGAGUGAGCCAUCUUGGACAUGCUGGCCUCCUUGAGCCCCCAAAUGACCACAGUCCCAGCUGACAUCAUAAGGAGCAGAAGAAUCACCCAGAUGAGCCCACUCAACCGACAGAAUUGUGAGGGAUUAAAAAAACAAAACCACAUUGUUGUUUUAAGCCAUUAAAUUUUAUGAUUGUUAUGCAACAACAGAUUAUAACCAAAAG